ACGCAUGCGUAUAACUGGUCGAAGUAUUGCAGGCGCACGACUCGACAAGCAACAGAGUGCUGUGUACAUCUCCGCCUACGUAUUAUUAUUCGUCUGUCUCAUAACCACGCUUUUUGUUGAUCGUGAUCAACCACGAGUUCUAAAUAGUUUCGAAUCAUAUAGAUAAUGAAUUCAUCAUUUGUAAAAGACGUACUAUGGCUUGUCGACAAAACGACGUAAGAAGAGUUUAAUGCGAUAUAAAGGCAAGCAUGAUUCUGGCAGGAUCAGACCAUUUUCUGGCGGUACCGGUGGAAGCAACAGCAUUUCUGGGUGCUGUUGCUGGUUUUGUGGUUCUUCUGUUGGCUCUUUUCCUGUACCUAUCACGCAAAUGGUGCCUUAUUCCGCCGUCCACGACCACACUUUUCGGCGGCGUUUGCGUGCCUCUUUGCGAAUCUAAUAAUGGCUCCACUUCUCAAAUUACAAAGAACAUAGGGAAGGCAUUUUCCUAUUCGGAUCCAGAGACUAGUUCCGAUUCGGAAGAGGAUGUCCUUCGUCGGUUGAAUUCUCACUCUCAUCCACCGCCGGAUACUUUAACUAUCCAAGCAGAGGAUGGACCGACUAUCCUGGAUGCUGGCACCACUUCUAGCAGCUGCACAGAAGAACACUCGUCCAAUGAUCAACAACAAUGCGUGGUAGAAGUGGGAGCUUCCGGUCUUGACAGUAGAGAACAAGAAGUAGAAGUGGAGCAAAAUGGUUCAACUACUAAUGACGUUAUUACAACAAUGGGUACUAUCACCGAAGAAGUGGGUAGUUUGGAAGUCGCUUUUCUAUAUGAUGCACCGAUGCGUGAGAUGACGGUUCAUGUAUUGCAAGGCCGAAAUUAUCCUGAAGGUAUAGGAGGUAGUCAAGUUCGACUAGUAUUAUUACCAUCGAAGAAACAACGACGCAAAACUCGGGUACGCCAGGGUACAUCUCCACAAUACAUGGAGAGUUUUUUACUUCCACGAGUAAAUCCGGAGGAUGUAAAUGCCAUGGGUGUACGCUUAAGAGUAUAUUUAUGGGGUGGAAGAAUGCGUAGAGAGAGAUUGCUAGGCGAAGCGAGAGUUUCUUUCGAUCAAAUUAAUCUUCAGCUUGAAACUACACUUUGGUUAACGCUACAACCUCCACCUUUUUCUUCGGUUCAAGAUUGGGGAACAACUAGUAGUUUGACUCGCAGCGAUUCUACGGGAUCACAACAAUCAGUUCAAUCAUAUGCAUCACCUACUGCACGUGUACCAACUUACACAUCGCAUACUAUACCUCCUUAUGGCAGUAGUAUGAAGGGUGGAAGUGUAGCGGAGAUUUUAAUAGGUUUGGCUUAUAAUGGAACGACCGGACGUUUAUCGGUAGAGAUAAUCAAAGGAUCUCAUUUUCGUGGUGGUGGUGGGAAUGACACGAAACCACCUGAUACAUAUGUUAAACUUUCUCUUGUGGAUAGUAAUGGUCAUGAAAUGGAACGAUCAAAAACUGGUUUGAAACGUGCUCAGCCGAAUCCUCUUUAUAAGGAAACAUUUAUAUUUCAAGUUGCACUAUUCCAACUUGGAGAUGUAACACUCUUUUUAUCGGUUUAUAAUCGACGAAGAGGCGGAAUGGGAAGAAAAGGAAGAGAAAUGAUCGGUUGGCUCAGUUUGGGCUUAAACAGUUCCGGCUCGGAGGAGCUUCAACAUUGGAAUGAUAUGCGUGCAGCAAGGCAACCGACGCAAGUUCAACGUUGGCACUCGUUGCUACGUCCUUGAAACAUACGAUCACGAAAGAAUUUUUGUUACAAAACAACAUUCCAUGUUAACGAUAACGAUAUGGUUUGAUCAAUGGAACACGGUGCAGAUUACGGUUAUUCUUGCAUACCGUGAUAUAUGACUGAUCGUGUAGCAAAGCAACUGAAUUUUUCAAGAUGAAUGCGGCUGCGUUUUAUUGGAUGCCGUUUGUACUGCCCGAACAGAACAAAGAAGUCAAUAUAUUGAUCUGUUGAUCCUGUGAAUCAGAGCUGUCAUAAUUUAGCAUGUGGUAACUCUGAGUUCAAAACUCUAUCGAUGUACCAAGUACAUUCCUUUUUGAUACGGCGGACGGAGUUGAGGGUGUUUCCAACAUACAUAUUACGCCGUGUGUCCAUCGACGGAGAAUCGUCGUGGGAUACCCAGCCGAGUCGAGAGCCCAUUAUGAAUCGCGAUCCUCUAGUCGUUCUCCUUUGGACGAAUUAAAUUAAACUAACGUAACUUUUCCUCUCUCGACUCCGCGAUACUUUCAACGGAAUAUUCGAUUUGCAGUGCUUAUUUGUUCGAUACGUUCGAUACUACGAAUCUUGGUGUUUUGAUCAUAUGGUUCGAGAAUGGAUUGAUAUGCAAAAAGAAUUAACCCCUUGUUGCAUUUGUUCGAUUUUCGACUAUUACUCUUUGUAUGAAAUAGAAAACAAUAUUCCCAAAUAAACAAAUAGGUUAUAUUAAUUUCUUAUAUAUUUAUGUCUAUUUAUUUCUUUUCUAUCUAAUAUUCUUCGUACAUGUAUAUAUUUAUUUAAUAUUGAAUAAUAUUAAAACAACAAAAAGUUACGUCAACAAUGAUAACUUUUCCAAGUUAUUUGAUAUCAGUUAAUCAAUAUAUGUACUAACAACUAUAUUUAUAAUUAUGUGUAAGCGCUACAUUAUGAAUAUUUCGUGUAUGCAAGAUAUCGGUUAAUCAAUUAAUAGCAUCGAGGGGUUAUAGUUAAUCGAUGAAAUAAAAAGAAUUAUGUAUUAUGAGAACAGAUUCACAAUUCAACUACGCACAAUAAACUCAUAAAACACCUUGUAAAUUCAGAUGUGAUCGUAGAGUUAAUAUUACUAAUAAAUUAGUAAUAUAUAUUAUUGUGAGUAUAGAUUACAUAGAAAUGUUUUUUUUCACGCAUUUAUAUUAGUGGGAAUUGGUUACUGAUGAAAUGGGCGACUGAUUAAUGAAUAAAAAAUAUCAGAUACUAUGAAUAGUUUAAUGCUUGACUUUUUCAAGCUUUAUAUAAUAUUUAGAUGAUUAUCAAUGAUUAAUCCAUGCUCGAACUAUUCUCUCGUUUACGUAUUUAGAUAAUAUAUAACACGAUUGCAAGGACUCAGAAGUUCUUUUGAUACAAAUAUAAGUAAAUAAAUACUUAUUAUGAAUUUUCUCUAUAAAAUAUGCAAAAAUUCUUUUUAUGAUGCUUUCUUCGAAAAAAUAUUUUUAGGGCUUUCAAAUUUAGCAUAAUCAUCAAUAAUCGAUAAUAUUGUAGUGAUGACCGUUUGUUGAUACGUCUAACUUAACCUUUUUAGGAAGCGAGAAAAAAAUAAUGGAAGAAAAGAAUAUAUAACAAAGUAUACAAUUGAAUUAUUCAAAUUUCUACUUUGAGUAAAGUUUUAAGCGUAAUAAGAUUUUAGCUAGCAUUAUUAGGAUACUUUUUUUACUUCUGAGUCCUGGUAAAAUAAAUCGUAUAUUGUACAGUCUGUUUAUAAACAACACGAUGUUGAACGGAGAUGAGAGAUUUGAGAAAAAUGUAGAAAAAGCAUAUUCGGUCUCUCGUCACGGAUAAAACGAAUGUAACGUGGAUAAAAACAGAAUGUUUUCGAAAUAUUUAUGACGAUACUUAAUUAAUGAGUAAGGCUUUUUCAGGGUGAUUUCUAUGCCUUUGAUUGUUCCCGAUUUGUUACGAUAUAGUUGUAAUUGCAUCGAACUAUUUUAGAGCAAAUGACUGGCUUUUGCGAGAUGAUUCAAUGAUGAUGAAAUGCAGAAUGCUUGAUUAAAGAUAUUUAAGAUAUUGAUUAGACAAAAAGAGUGUAUGAAGUUAAAUUUUAUUUAUCUAACUACUAAUGUUCUACGAGCAUGAAUGUAUGGAAUGAAAAGAUACUGACAUUACAAUCUUGUUCUCUGGUGUUUUAUUCUAUUGUGUCGCUUUCUCGAGUGUUCGGUGCUUAUAAUGUCGAUA
rnacentral:misc_RNA from 1 species